CCUACGGGAGGCAGCAGUGGGGAAUUGUUCGCAAUGGGCGCAAGCCUGACGACGCAACGCCGCGUGGAGGAUGAAGGUCUUCGGAUUGUAAACUCCUGUUGCCCGGGACGAAUGGCCACGACCUAACACGUCGUGGUGUGACGGUACCGGGUGAGGAAGCCCCGGCUAACUCUGUGCCAGCAGCCGCGGUAAU
rnacentral:rRNA from 1 species